CGCGAAUGGCUCAUUAUAACAGCUAUAAUUUACUUGAUCUUGACACAAUCCUACUUGGAUAACUGUGGUAAUUCUAGAGCUAAUACAUGCAUUAAAGCUCUGACCGCAAGGGAAGAGUGCACUUAUUAGAACAAAACCAAGCGGCUUCGGCUGUUUUCGGUUGACUCAUAGUAACUGAGCUGAUCGCACGGUCUUGCACCGGCGACGUGUCUUUCAAGUAUCUGCCGUAUCGACUUUCGAUGGUAGUGUAUCUGACUACCAUGGUGAUCACGCGUAACGGAGAAUAAGGGUUCGGCUCCGGAGAGUUCGCCUGAGAAAUCGCGAACACAUCUAAGGAAGGCAGCAGGCGCGAAAAUUACCCACUCUCAGCACGAGGAGGUAGUGACGAAAAAUAACGAGACCGUUCUCUUAUGAGGCCGGUCAUCGGAAUGGGUACAAUUUAAACCCUUUAACGAGUAUCUAUGAGAGGGCAAGUCUGGUGCCAGCAGCCGCGGUAAUUCCGGCU
rnacentral:rRNA from 1 species